rnacentral:rRNA from 1 species
AGCGAACGCUGGCGGCAGGCCUAACACAUGCAAGUCGAGCGGGCGCCUUCGGGCGUCAGCGGCAGACGGGUGAGUAACGCGUGGGAACGUGCCCAUCGGUUCGGAACAACCCAGGGAAACUUGGGCUAAUACCGGAUACGUGCGAGAGCAGAAAGAUUUAUCGCCGAUGGAUCGGCCCGCGUCUGAUUAGCUUGUUGGUGAGGUAACGGCUCACCAAGGCGACGAUCAGAGCUGGUCUGAGAGGAUGAUCAGCCACACUGGGACUGAGACACGGCCCAGACUCCUACGGGAGGCAGCAGUGGGGAAUAUUGCGCAAUGGGCGAAAGCCUGACGCAGCGACGCCGCGUGAGGGAUGAAGGCCUCGGUUGUAACGU